GUAUGUCCUUAACCUUGGCACAACAAAUCUCUAAAUCGAUUGAGACCUGUCUCAGAUACUUUUUGGUUUAUAAGAUGGGGGCUGAAAUUAAAGAGAAAGCUCCUCACUCAGCUCACAAAGGAGCAGAAUGGGAAGAGGACUUAGUGAGAAUUCCCUGAACACAGGAGAAAACCGAAGCCCAGAGAGUGGAUGGCCAAGUCCAAGGCCACAUAGCCAAGUGCAUCUGAGCAGCGCAGGAUCCAGGUUUCCUGCCCCAGUGCUGUUUCUGCAGCCCGUGCCACCUGUUUUCAUACUAUCUCGGUUCACCAUCCAGCUACACACCUGCAAUCAGAAACAGAAAGUCUGAGAGUGUGUGUGGAGCCAAAGAGGGGACAGCAGUGGUGCGGCCAGUUUCAUGUCUUGUGAUUUAUUUUCUCCCUUUCUUUUUGGACUUUAAUCUUAAGUGGACAGCAGUUUGGAACAGUGCCAGCACCUUGUUGGAUUGUGCUGUUUGGGAGAGGUGACACAGAGUAUUUUAAAAGAGCAGGUUAAGAACUUUUCAUAAAGAAUCAAUUGAGAAAAAAUAAAAUAGAAACAGAAUGUCCCACAUUUGGGCUGAGCACCAAACAAAUUUUUUUUUUUUUUUUUUGAGACUGAGUCUUGCUGUGUCACUCAGGCUGGAAUGCAGUGGUGCGAUCUCGGCUCACUGCAGCCUUCGCCUCCCAGGUUCAAGUGAUUCUUCUGCCUCAGCCUCCCAAGUAGCUGGGAUUACAGGUGCCCACCACCACGCCAGGCUAAUUUUUGUAUUUUUAGUAGAGACGGGGUUUCACCAUGUUGACCAGGCUGGUCUUGAACUCCUGACCAAGUGAUCCACCUGCUUCGGCCACCCAAAGUGCUGGGAUUAUAGGCAUGAGCCACCGCACCUGGCCUCAAACAAGCUUUUUAAUUGCAUUCAGAAGUGCACCAACUAGGCACAGACCUCUGGCAUGGAAACAGAAUGGGAGGUUCUUGGUGUCUGGCCUGGUCUUGCAGAAAUCAGGGAGUUGCCGGGACCAGGCAGCCACUGUGCAUCAGAUAGGAGUUUCAGCAGCAGGCAACAGAAAGCCUGCCAAUGUAGCUGAAAUAAGAAGGGCUUAUUUUUAUCCCUGAACAGAAGCUUCCAGCACUGGUUCAUCAGGUCAGGGCACUGAGCUGGCAUCCCCAUUUAUACAGUUUUCCUUUCCUUCACCUUUGUAAGAUGCCUGGCACAGCUCUGAGCAUCAAAUAUCUGUGCCAUGUGGGAGCACACGAGGGGACAAGUGGGGAAUAGGGUCUCCUCCGUCCUCUGUCCCCAGGCUGGCUUCUCUCAUGGUAGAAGGACCCCCACAGCACCAGGCCUCAUAACUACCCUGCUGGUAAACUGCAGGUGCUGUCAAGGCUUCCUGCCUUCGUAUAUGAAAUGUUCCUUGACAGCUGGACUGCUGUUUACCGCACGCACCGCUCUGCUGCCUCUUGGUUGCACCAGUGAGCUAUUGCUCCAUGACAAACCACACCGAAAUGUAGCAAGUACUUAUUGUUGCCCACAUGUCUCAAGUCAGUUGAGUGUUUCUGCCAAUCGGGGCCUGGCUUGGCCCACCUUGGCUGAGCUUGCUCUGGUGCUAGGGUCAGCUAGACAGGUUGGCAGGAGACCAGCUGCUCUAGAAGAGCCUGGACAGGAUGAAUUGGUUCUCCUUCCACGUGCAUCUUGCAUCCCUCCAGCUAAGUAUUUGAACCCAGGUCUCAUCUGACUCCAAACGCACCAAGAAGAUGGAGCCUAGAGUGACACAGAGGAAGAGGCCCCUGGAUGGAUGCAUGGGGAAGGUUAGAAGCAAGGCACAAGUCAUACCUACAUUCAAGGAGAGGAGACCAUGCAAAGGAUAAACUUCAGAGAGACAACAGAUUUACAUCCCAGACACAUUCACACUGGGCAAAGAGCAGCUGCCAUUGCAGAUUUGAGUCACGUCCUUUUUUCCCUCCUUCUCCUUCUUGGAGUUACAGCAGAAGCUGGGGAGGUGAGAGUGCAGAAAGGACAUGGAUGAAGCAGAGAGGCAUGUGCCUGUCUCAUUCGCCUCUGGAUCUGCUGCAUCCAGGACCAUGUCAGCACAAAGUGGGAGCCCGAUAAAUAUUUAUUGAAGAAAUGAAAGGUGACAAAAGGCAGAAGGAGGGAGACCCCCAAAAGAGGAGAGACAAAGUUUAAUCAUGUGAGCCAGGCUGGUUUUGAAGUCCUGACCUCAAGUGAUCUGCCCACCUUGGCCUCCCAAAGUGCUGGGAUUACAGUAUGAACCCAGCAUCACGGUGCACUUGUGGCAGUUGGCAGUGCACACCCGGGAGCCACUCUCCUCUGGCCAGAUGCCCUUCUCCCAGCUGCCCGCCGUGUGGCAGCUCUACCCUGGGAAGAAGUACCGAGCAGCGGAUUCCAGUUUCUGGGAAAUAGCAGACCAUGGCCAGAUCGACUCCAUGGAGCAGCUGGUCCUAACAUAUCAGCCAGAGAGGAAAGACUGACAUUGGGAGUGGCUGGCCCUGCUGGCCCUGCCUCUUCUGGCCUGGUGUCUCCUCAUGCCCCCUCAGUGAGGAUCUUCAUGUACCUGCUCUUCUGUUUGCACACCCAGCAUAGCCUCCUUGCGGGCAGAAGGCAGUGGAGCCCCUGCACGCUCAGCUUCUCUCAUUUUCCUUAGUUAUCAGUCCUGUCCUGUCCCGCUCGGAUCUGCACUUAGGGCAACUGGCCUGGAUGGGCUUCACUAGGGGCCCUGUCUGUGCACUGAGCCAGUUUCCUCUGCUGGCUGCAAGCUGUGGGUUCUCUUUCUCCUCUGUGCCCCUCAUGCUGAUCUUCUAGAUGCCACUCCCAAAUCCCCUUCAUACCCACCAGGAUGUGUGCCCAGCCAGGCCUCCAGCACCCCCAGUACAGCUCAUGAUUGGAAACUCACCAUCAGCAGGCAGUGGCUCGGUUUAAGAGAUGGCCGCAGAGGGAGCCCAGUCUGGAUGUGGACUUGGAUGCCCUGUGGGUAUCAGUUCCGCUGACACUUUGGCCCGAAAUAGAUCCAGUGCUGAGCAAGCAAUGUACGCCGGAGCCUCAGUGAGCCCAUCUGCACAGUGGGGAGCAUGGAGGGAUGGGUUUGGCCUGUGCUUCUGCUUGUUCAGUCCUUCAGCUCAUGGAAGGGAUGCUAGUCCAUGAAGCUGACCUCACAGUACUGGUUAAUUAAACUUUAUUGCUCACUGUCCA
rnacentral:sRNA from 1 species